rfam:Microsporum canis CBS 113480 supercont1.2 genomic scaffold, whole genome shotgun sequence.
ACAAAAGCUUUUUUCGAAGCUACUACAUAGUAUGCAUGGGGCUAAGU